GCGGAAGUGGUGAAAUUGGUAGACACGCCAGAUUUAGGUUCUGGUGCCGUAAGGGGUGAGAGUUCGAGUCUCUCCUUCCGCACCA
rnacentral:tRNA from 1 species